rnacentral:rRNA from 1 species
CGCUAGCUACAGGCUUAACACAUGCAAGUCGAGGGGCAGCAUUUCAGUUUGCUUGCAAACUGGAGAUGGCGACCGGCGCACGGGUGAGUAACACGUAUCCAACCUGCCGAUAACUCGGGGAUAGCCUUUCGAAAGAAAGAUUAAUACCCGAUGGUAUAAUCAGACCGCAUGGUUUGAUUAUUAAAGAAUUUCGGUUAUCGAUGGGGAUGCGUUCCAUUAGGCAGUUGGUGAGGUAACGGCUCACCAAACCUUCGAUGGAUAGGGGUUCUGAGAGGAAGGUCCCCCACAUUGGAACUGAGACACGGUCCAAACUCCUACGGGAGGCAGCAGUGAGGAAUAUUGGUCAAUGGGCGCAGGCCUGAACCACCCAAGUAGCGUGAAGGAUGACUGCCCUAUGGGUUGUAAACUUCUUUUAUAUGGGAAUAAAGUUUUCCACGUGUGGAAUUUUGUAUGUACCAUAUGAAUAAGGAUCGGCUAACUCCGUGCCAGCAGCCGCGGUAAUACGGAGGAUCCGAGCGUUAUCCGGAUUUAUUGGGUUUAAAGGGAGCGUAGGUGGACAGUUAAGUCAGUUGUGAAAGUUUGCGGCUCAACCGUAAAAUUGCAGUUGAUACUGGCUGUCUUGAGUACAGUAGAGGUGGGCGGAAUUCGUGGUGUAGCGGUGAAAUGCUUAGAUAUCACGAAGAACUCCGAUUGCGAAAGCAGCUCACUGGACUGCAACUGACACUGAUGCUCGAAAGUGUGGGUAUCAAACAGGAUUAGAUACCCUGGUAGUCCACACAGUAAACGAUGAAUACUCGCUGUUUGCGAUAUACAGUAAGCGGCCAAGCGAAAGCAUUAAGUAUUCCACCUGGGGAGUACGCCGGCAACGGUGAAACUCAAAGGAAUUGACGGGGGCCCGCAUAAGCGGAGGAACAUGUGGUUUAAUUCGAUGAUACGCGAGGAACCUUACCCGGGCUUAAAUUGCAUUUGAAUAAUCUGGAAACAGGUUAGCCGCAAGGCAAAUGUGAAGGUGCUGCAUGGUUGUCGUCAGCUCGUGCCGUGAGGUGUCGGCUUAAGUGCCAUAACGAGCGCAACCCUUAUCUUUAGUUACUAACAGGUCAUGCUGAGGACUCUAGAGAGACUGCCGUCGUAAGAUGUGAGGAAGGUGGGGAUGACGUCAAAUCAGCACGGCCCUUACGUCCGGGGCUACACACGUGUUACAAUGGGGGGUACAGAAGGCAGCUACCUGGUGACAGGAUGCUAAUCCCAAAAGCCUCUCUCAGUUCGGAUCGAAGUCUGCAACCCGACUUCGUGAAGCUGGAUUCGCUAGUAAUCGCGCAUCAGCCAUGGCGCGGUGAAUACGUUCCCGGGCCUUGUACACACCGCCCGUCAAGCCAUGAAAGCCGGGGGUACCUGAAGUACGUAACAGCAAGGAGCGUCCUAGGGUAAAACUGGUAAUUG